rnacentral:rRNA from 1 species
UACGGGGGGGGCAAGCGUUGUUCGGAAUCACUGGGCGUAAAGGGCGCGUAGGCGGGAUGGCAAGUCAGUCGUGAAAUCUCUCGGCUCAACCGAGAAACGUCGGCUGAUACUGCCGUUCUUGAGGGAUGCAGAGGAGACUGGAAUUCCCGGUGUAGCGGUGAAAUGUGUAGAGAUCGGGAGGAACACCGAUGGCGAAGGCGGGUCUCUGGGCAUCUCCUGACGCUGAGGCGCGAAAGCGUGGGGAGCAAACGGG